rnacentral:rRNA from 1 species
AUUGAACGCUGGCGGCAUGCCUUACACAUGCAAGUCGAACGGCAGCACGGGAGCAAUUAUGGUGGCGAGUGGCGAACGGGUGAGUAAUAUAUCGGAACGUGCCCAGUCGUGGGGGAUAACGCAGCGAAAGCUGUGCUAAUAACGCAUACGAUCUACGGAUGAAAGAGGGGGAUCGAAAGACCUCGCGCGAAUGGAGCGGCCGAUAUCAGAUUAGCUAGUUGGUGAGGUAAAGGCUCACCAAGGCGACGAUCUGUAGCUGGUCUGAGAGGACGACCAGCCACGCUGGAACUUAGACACGGUCCAGACUCCUACGGGAGGCAGCAGUGGGGAAUUUUGGACAAUGGGCGCAAGCCUGAUCCAGCAAUGCCGCGUGCAGGAUGAAGGCCUUCGGGUUGUAAACUGCUUUUGUACGGAACGAAACGGCGAGCUCUAAUACAGUUUGCUAAUGACGGUACCGUAAGAAUAAGCACCGGCUAACUACGUGCCAGCCGCCGCAGUAAAAC